AAAUACAGUUGAAGUGGGAAGUUUACACACACACACUUAGGUUGGAGUCAUUAAAACUAGUUUACAUCCACUCAGGUUUGAGUCAUUAAAACUAGUUGGUUUGUUGAAGAGGUAGUGAUGGUUAGUUCUUGAGGAGGUAGUGAUGGUUAGUUCUUGAGGAGGUAGUGAUGGUUUGUUCUUGAGGAGGUAGUGAUGGUUUGUUCUUGAGGAGGUAGUGAUGGUUUGUUCUUGAGGAGGUAGUGAUGGUUUGUUCUUGAGGAGGUAGUGAUGGUUUGUUCUUGAGGAGGUAGUGAUGGUUUGUUCUUGAGGAGGUAGUGAUGGUUUGUUCUUGAGGAGGUAGUGAUGGUUAGUUCUUGAGGAGGUAGUGAUGGUUUGUUCUUGAGGAGGUAGUGAUGGUUAGUUCUUGAGGAGGUAGUGAUGGUUAGUUCUUGAGGAGGUAGUGAUGGUUAGUUCUUGAGGAGGUAGUGAUGGUUUGUUCUUGAGGAGGUAGUGAUGGUUUGUUCUUGAGGAGGUAGUGAUGGUUUGUUCUUGAGGAGGUAGUGAUGGUUUGUUCUUGAGGAGGUAGUGAUGGUUUGUUCUUGAGGAGGUAGUGAUGGUUUGUUCUUGAGGAGGUAGUGAUGGUUUGUUCUUGAGGAGGUAGUGAUGGUUUGUUCUUGAGGAGGUAGUGAUGGUUUGUUCUUGAGGAGGUAGUGAUGGUUUGUUCUUGAGGAGGUAGUGAUGGUUUGUUCUUGAGGAGGUAGUGAUGGUUUGUUCUUGAGGAGGUAGUGAUGGUUUGUUCUUGAGGAGGUAGUGAUGGUUUGUUCUUGAGGAGGUAGUGAUGGUUUGUUCUUGAGGAGGUAGUGAUGGUUUGUUCUUCAGGAGGUAGUGAUGGUUAGUUCUUCAGGAGGUAGUGAUGGUUUGUUCUUCAGGAGGUAGUGAUGGUUAGUUCUUCAGGAGGUAGUGAUGGUUUGUUCUUCAGGAGGUAGUGAUGGUUUGUUCUUCAGGAGGUAGUGAUGGUUUGUUCUUCAGGAGGUAGUGAUGGUUUGUUCUUCAGGAGGUAGUGAUGGUUAGUUCUUCAGGAGGUAGUGAUGGUUAGUUCUUCAGGAGGUAGUGAUGGUUAGUUCUUCAGGAGGUAGUGAUGGUUAGUUCUUCAGGAGGUAGAUAUUUCAUAUUGUAGACUGUAGGUUCUAUCUACCAAUGUAAUGGUGUGUAUAAUUUCCAAUCCCCAGUAUAUUAAACAAAUAUAUAUAUAUUUUCCUUUAUUAUUGUCCCUUAACCUUACCACCCCUCGACUAAUUGAGUAAACUAAUGGACAGUUCCACUUCUACAUUUCACGGACACGGUAUAUUUUACAUUGGUCAUCUAUGUU